rnacentral:rRNA from 1 species
UCCAUAGGUUAAUGAGGCGAACCGGGGGAACUGAAACAUCUAAGUACCCCGAGGAAAAGAAAUCAACCGAGAUUCCCCCAGUAGCGGCGAGCGAACGGGGAGCAGCCCAGAGCCUGAAUCAGUGUGUGUGUUAGUGGAAGCGUCUGGAAAGGCGUGCGAUACAGGGUGACAGCCCCGUACACAAAAAUGCACAUACUGUGAGCUCGAUGAGUAGGGCGGGACACGUGGUAUCCUGUCUGAAUAUGGGGGGACCAUCCUCCAAGGCUAAAUACUCCUGACUGACCGAUAGUGAACCAGUACCGUGAGGGAAAGGCGAAAAGAACCCCGGCGAGGGGAGUGAAAAAGAACCUGAAACCGUGUACGUACAAGCAGUGGGAGCACGCUUAGGCGUGUGACUGCGUACCUUUUGUAUAAUGGGUCAGCGACUUAUAUUCUGUAGCAAGGUUAACCGAAUAGGGGAGCCGAAGGGAAACCGAGUCUUAACUGGGCGUUAAGUUGCAGGGUAUAGACCCGAAACCCGGUGAUCUAGCCAUGGGCAGGUUGAAGGUUGGGUAACACUAACUGGAGGACCGAACCGACUAAUGUUGAAAAAUUAGCGGAUGACUUGUGGCUGGGGGUGAAAGGCCAAUCAAACCGGGAGAUAGCUGGUUCUCCCCGAAAGCUAUUUAGGUAGCGCCUCGUGAAUUCAUCUCCGGGGGUAGAGCACUGUUUCGGCAAGGGGGUCAUCCCGACUUACCAACCCGAUGCAAACUGCGAAUACCGGAGAAUGUUAUCACGGGAGACACACGGCGGGUGCUAACGUCCGUCGUGAAGAGGGAAACAACCCAGACCGCCAGCUAAGGUCCCAAAGUCAUGGUUAAGUGGGAAACGAUGUGGGAAGGCCCAGACAGCCAGGAUGUUGGCUUAGAAGCAGCCAUCAUUUAAAGAAAGCGUAAUAGCUCACUGGUCGAGUCGGCCUGCGCGGAAGAUGUAACGGGGCUAAACCAUGCACCGAAGCUGCGGCAGCGACGCUUAUGCGUUGUUGGGUAGGGGAGCGUUCUGUAAGCCUGUGAAGGUGUGCUGUGAGGUAUGCUGGAGGUAUCAGAAGUGCGAAUGCUGACAUAAGUAACGAUAAAGCGGGUGAAAAGCCCGCUCGCCGGAAGACCAAGGGUUCCUGUCCAACGUUAAUCGGGGCAGGGUGAGUCGACCCCUAAGGCGAGGCCGAAAGGCGUAGUCGAUGGGAAACAGGUUAAUAUUCCUGUACUUGGUGUUACUGCGAAGGGGGGACGGAGAAGGCUAUGUUGGCCGGGCGACGGUUGUCCCGGUUUAAGCGUGUAGGCUGGUUUUCCAGGCAAAUCCGGAAAAUCAAGGCCGAGGCGUGAUGACGAGGCACUACGGUGCUGAAGCAACAAAUGCCCUGCUUCCAGGAAAAGCCUCUAAGCAUCAGGUAACAUCAAAUCGUACCCCAAACCGACACAGGUGGUCAGGUAGAGAAUACCAAGGCGCUUGAGAGAACUCGGGUGAAGGAACUAGGCAAAAUGGUGCCGUAACUUCGGGAGAAGGCACGCUGAUACGUAGGUGAAGCGACUUGCUCGUGGAGCUGAAAUCAGUCGAAGAUACCAGCUGGCUGCAACUGUUUAUUAAAAACACAGCACUGUGCAAACACGAAAGUGGACGUAUACGGUGUGACGCCUGCCCGGUGCCGGAAGGUUAAUUGAUGGGGUUAGCGCAAGCGAAGCUCUUGAUCGAAGCCCCGGUAAACGGCGGCCGUAACUAUAACGGUCCUAAGGUAGCGAAAUUCCUUGUCGGGUAAGUUCCGACCUGCACGAAUGGCGUAAUGAUGGCCAGGCUGUCUCCACCCGAGACUCAGUGAAAUUGAACUCGCUGUGAAGAUGCAGUGUACCCGCGGCAAGACGGAAAGACCCCGUGAACCUUUACUAUAGCUUGACACUGAACAUUGAGCCUUGAUGUGUAGGAUAGGUGGGAGGCUUUGAAGUGUGGACGCCAGUCUGCAUGGAGCCGACCUUGAAAUACCACCCUUUAAUGUUUGAUGUUC